CCUGAGAAACCCAAAAGAUCGAAUGGGGAGAUUCAUCGUCAGCGAUACUGGUACGUGUGCGGUUCGCGAUGCCGGAGACUUCGGUCUCGUGGCACGCGUCCGCAUGUUUUUAUUGCCUGGUGUCGUCGGCGUGCACUUCUCCCCUAGUAGGACGUCGCGACCCGUUGGGUGUCGGUCUACGGCCCGGGUGGGCGCCUGCCCCGUGUGCGCUUCACGGCGUCACUGCGGGGCAGACCCCCGGCUGCCCGACCGGCUGCCCGGCGGUACUCGCAAGGUAUCUGGCCGCAAAUAUUCGAACUGCGUCCGGCCCGUCGCAAGCGAUGCAAGUGUCUCCCGAAUGUACGGAUCCAAUGCCGUCGUCGGGCCUUGCCAGCUGUUGGUUGACGGUGUCCUAGGACUGGCUAUAACAAUUAUGAUACCGGUCAGCGACGCUACUGCUUUGGGUACUUUCAGGA
rnacentral:rRNA from 1 species